rnacentral:rRNA from 1 species
UACGUAGGGACCGAGCGUUGUCCGGAAUCAUUGGGCGUAAAGAGCGUGUAGGCGGCCACUUAAGUCCUGCGUGAAAUCUUGCGGCUCAACCGCAAGCGGUCGUGGGAAACUGGGUGGCUAGAGUGCGGGAGAGGAGAGUGGAAUUCCUGGUGUAGCGGUGGAAUGCGCAGAUAUCAGGAAGAACACCCGUGGCGAAGGCGGCUCUCUAGUACGGUACUGACGCUGAGACGCGAAAGCGUGGGGAGCGAACAGG